rnacentral:rRNA from 1 species
CAAUGCAAGUCGAGCGGGGUUUUCGGACCUAGCGGCGGACGGGUGAGUAAUGCGUACGAAGCUGCCCGAUAGAGGGGGAUACCAGUUGGAAACGACUGUUAAUACCGCAUAAUGUCUACGGACCAAAGUGUGGGACCUUCGGGCCACAUGCUAUCGGAUGCGCCUACGUGGGAUUAGCUAGUUGGUGGGGUAAUGGCUCACCAAGGCGACGAUCCCUAGCUGGUUUGAGAGGAUGAUCAGCCACACUGGGACUGAGACACGGCCCAGACUCCUACGGGAGGCAGCAGUGGGGAAUAUUGGACAAUGGGCGCAAGCCUGAUCCAGCCAUGCCGCGUGUGUGAAGAAGGCCUUAGGGUUGUAAAGCACUUUCAGUGGGGAGGAAGGGGUGAAUGUUAAUAGUAUUCAUCUUUGACGUUACCCACAGAAGAAGCACCGGCUAACUUCGUGCCAGCAGCCGCGGAUAUACGGAGGGUGCAAGCGUUAUUCGGAAUUACUGGGCGUAAAGCGCACGCAGGCGGUUUUUUAAGUCAGAUGUGAAAGCCCCGGGCUCAACCUGGAAAUUGCAUCCGAAACUGAAAAG